rnacentral:RNase_P_RNA from 1 species
CAGGUAGACCGGGUGACCGCCGCGGCGGCCCAAUCAAUUGGGGCGCCGGGGAGGAAAGUCCGGGCUCCGCUGGGCAGGGUGCUGGGUAACGCCCAGGCCUCUGCGGCGGCCACGCUGCCGCAGGGGACGGAAAGUGGCACAGAAACAUACCGUCCCGACUUGUCGGGAUAAGGGUGAAAUCGGACGGUAAGAGCGUCCGGUCGUCUGUGGUGACACAGCGACGGCCAAACCCCACCUGGAGCAAGGCCGAAUAGGGGGACCAUGGGCGCCCGGCCCGUCCCCGGGUUGGCUGCUAGACCCCGAUGGUAACGUCGUCCCGCACUGCGCGGGUGCCCAAUGGCCCAUGUGGCCCUGGGCGGGCUAGAUAGAUGGUCACCGCCCCGCGGUCCUGCCGCUCUGCAGCGUGGCACUGCGGGAUACAGAACCCGGCUUACAGGUCUGCGUGGCUC